CAUCGAGUUUUUGAACGCAAGUUGCGCCCGAAGCCUCCGGCUGAGGGCACGUCUGCCUGGGCGUCACGC
rnacentral:rRNA from 1 species